rnacentral:rRNA from 1 species
AGUGAACGCUGGCGGUAGGCCUAACACAUGCAAGUCGAACGGCAGCACAGUAAGAGCUUGCUCUUACGGGUGGCGAGUGGCGGACGGGUGAGGAAUACAUCGGAAUCUACUUUUUCGUGGGGGAUAACGUAGGGAAACUUACGCUAAUACCGCAUACGACCUACGGGUGAAAGCAGGGGAUCUUCGGACCUUGCGCGAUUGAAUGAGCCGAUGUCGGAUUAGCUAGUUGGCGGGGUAAAGGCCCACCAAGGCGACGAUCCGUAGCUGGUCUGAGAGGAUGAUCAGCCACAUUGGAACUGAGACACGGUCCAGACUCCUACGGGAGGCCGCAGUGGGGAAUAUUGGACAAUGGGCGCAAGCCUGAUCCAGCCAUACCGCGUGGGUGAAGAAGGCCUUCGGGUUGUAAAGCCCUUUUGUUGGGAAAGAAAAGCAGCAGGUUAAUACCCCGCUGUUCUGACGGUACCCAAAGAAUAAGCACCGGCUAACUUCGUG